AACGAACGCUGGCGGCAUGCCUAACACAUGCAAGUCGAACGAAGGCUUCGGCCUUAGUGGCGCACGGGUGCGUAACGCGUGGGAAUCUGCCCUUUGGUUCGGAAUAACAGCUGGAAACGGCUGCUAAUACCGGAUGAUGACGAAAGUCCAAAGAUUUAUCGCCAGAGGAUGAGCCCGCGUUGGAUUAGGUAGUUGGUGGGGUAAAGGCCUACCAAGCCGACGAUCCAUAGCUGGUCUGAGAGGAUGAUCAGCCACACUGGGACUGAGACACGGCCCAGACUCCUACGGGAGGCAGGAGUGGGGAAUAUUGGACAAUGGACGCAAGCCUGAUCCAGCAAUGCCGCGUGAGUGAUGAAGGCCCUAGGGUUGUAAAGCUCUUUUACCCGGGAAGAUAAUGACUGUACCGGGAGAAUAAGCCCCGGCUAACUCCGUG
rnacentral:rRNA from 1 species